rnacentral:rRNA from 1 species
GACGAAGGAUCCAAGCGUUAUCCGGAUUUAUUGGGUUUAAAGGGUGCGUAGGCGGAUUGAUAAGUCAGUGGUGAAAGCCUGCAGCUUAACUGCAGAACUGCCAUUGAUACUGUCAAUCUUGAAUAUGGUUGAUGUGGGCGGAAUAUGACAUGUAGCGGUGAAAAUGCUUAGAUAUGUCAUAGAAACACCGAUUGCGAAAGGCAGCUCACAAAAGCCCAUUUAUUUGACGCUGAGGCACGAAAAGCGUGGGGGAUCAAAACAGG